CAUCCUUGGCAAUGGGCAAAGAGGCACCUUGAUGGUGGUGCUGUUCUCAUAUGAGUCAGGGGCAGAGCAGAGGGUGGUCCUUUGUUCAUCCUAGCUUGAUGCCUGGUUUAGUGGCCAAAGCUGUUUCAUGCCUAGGGCACAUAA